AACUAUGUGCCAGCAGCUGCGGUAAUACAUAGGUCGCGAGCGUUAUUCGGAUUUAUUGGGCGUAAAGCAAGCGCAGGCGGAUGGAUAAGUUCUGUGUGAAAAGCAGCUGCUCAACAGCUGUUUGCGCCGAAUACUAUACAUCUAGAAUACGGUAGGAAGUUUUGGAAUUGAAUAUGGAGCGGUGGAAUGUGUAGAUAUAUUCAAGAACACCAGAGGCGAAGGCGAAAACUUAGGCCGCUAUUGACGCUUAGGCUUGAAAGUGUGGGGAGCAAAUGGGAUUAGAUACCCCAGUAGUCCACACCGUAAACGAUGGGUAUUAAAUGUUGGGGCUGGUGCCUCAGCGUUGUAGCUUACGUGUUAAAUACCCCGCCUGGGUAGUACAUAUGCAAAUAUGAAACUCAAAGGAAUUGACGGGGACCUGAACAAGUGGUGGAACAUGUUGCUUAAUUCGAUAAUACACGAAAAACCUUACCAAGAUUUGACAUCCCUCGCGAAGCUUUAGAGAUAAAGUGAAGGUUAUCGAGGUGACAGGUGGUGCAUGGUUGUCGUCAGCUCGUGUCAUGAGAUGUUGGGUUAAGUCCCGCAACGAGCGCAACCCUACUCUCUAGUUGUUUGUUUAGAGAGACUGAACAGUAAUGUAUAGGAAGGUCGGGAUCACGUCAAAUCAUCAUGCCCCUUAUGUCUUGGGCCGCAAACGUGUUACAAUGGCGAGCACAGCGUGUCGCAAAUCAGCGAUGGUAAGCUAAUCACUAAAAACUCGUCUCAGUCCGGAUAAAAGGCUGCAAUUCGCCUUUUUGAAGUUGGAAUCACUAGUAAUCCCGUGUCAGCUAUAUCGGGGUGAAUACGUUCCCCAGGUCUUGUAC
rnacentral:rRNA from 1 species